rnacentral:rRNA from 1 species
GUCUGUGGCCAUGCCACCCUGAACAAGCCCAAUCCUGUCUGAUCUUGGAAGCUAAGCAGGGUCGGGCCUGGUUAGUACUUAGAUGAGAGACCACCUAGGAUGACCAGGUGCUGUAGGCG